CAUGCAAGUCGAGCGGAAACGACACUAACAAUCCUUCGGGUGCGUUAAUGGGCGUCGAGCGGCGGACGGGUGAGUAAUGCCUAGGAAAUUGCCUUGAUGUGGGGGAUAACCAUUGGAAACGAUGGCUAAUACCGCAUAAUGCCUACGGGCCAAAGAGGGGGAUCUUCGGACCUCUCGCGUCAAGAUAUGCCUAGGUGGGAUUAGCUAGUUGGUGAGGUAAUGGCUCACCAAGGCGACGAUCCCUAGCUGGUCUGAGAGGAUGAUCAGCCACACUGGAACUGAGACACGGUCCAGACUCCUACGGGAGGCAGCAGUGGGGAAUAUUGCACAAUGGGCGAAAGCCUGAUGCAGCCAUGCCGCGCGUAUGAAGAAGGCCUUCGGGUUGUAAAGUACUUUCAGUUGUGAGGAAGGGGGUAACGUUAAUAGCGUUAUCUCUUGACGUUAGCAACAGAAGAAGCACCGGCUAACUCCGUGCCAGCAGCCGCGGUAAUACGNAGGGUGCGAGCGUUAAUCGGAAUUACUGGGCGUAAAGCGCAUGCAGGUGGCUCA
rnacentral:rRNA from 1 species